UCGUAACAAGGUUUCCGUAGGUGAACCUGCGGAAGGAUCAUUACUGAGUGCGGGCUGCCUCCGGGCGCCCAACCUCCCACCCGUGACUACCUAACACUGUUGCUUCGGCGGGGAGCCCUCUCGGGGGCGAGCCGCCGGGGACUACUGAACUUCAUGCCUGAGAGUGAUGCAGUCUGAGUCUGAAUAUAAAAUCAGUCAAAACUUUCAACAAUGGAUCUCUUGGUUCCGGCAUCGAUGAAGAACGCAGCGAACUGCGAUAAGUAAUGUGAAUUGCAGAAUUCAGUGAAUCAUCGAGUCUUUGAACGCACAUUGCGCCCCCUGGCAUUCCGGGGGGCAUGCCUGUCCGAGCGUCAUUGCUGCCCAUCAAGCCCGGCUUGUGUGUUGGGUCGUCGUCCCCCCCGGGGGACGGGCCCGAAAGGCAGCGGCGGCACCGUGUCCGGUCCUCGAGCGUAUGGGGCUUUGUCACCCGCUCGAUUUAGGGCCGGCCGGGCGCCAGCCGACGUCCAACCAUUUUUCUUCAGGUUGACCUCGGAUCAGGUAGGGAUACCCGCUGAACUUAAGCAUAUCAAUAAGCGGAGGAAAAGAAACCAACCGGGAUUGCCCCAGUAACGGCGAGUGAAGCGGCAAGAGCUCAAAUUUGAAAUCUGGCCCCUCCGGGGUCCGAGUUGUAAUUUGCAGAGGAUGCUUCGGGUGCGGCCCCUGUCUAAGUGCCCUGGAACGGGCCGUCAGAGAGGGUGAGAAUCCCGUCUUGGGCAGGGUGCCCGUGCCCGUGUGAAGCUCCUUCGACGAGUCGAGUUGUUUGGGAAUGCAGCUCUAAAUGGGUGGUAAAUUUCAUCUAAAGCUAAAUACCGGCCGGAGACCGAUAGCGCACAAGUAGAGUGAUCGAAAGAUGA
rnacentral:misc_RNA from 1 species